rnacentral:rRNA from 1 species
UAGGGAAGUACUUCCACAAUGGGCGGCAAGCCUGAUGGAGCAACACCGCGUGAGUGAAGAAGGGUUUCGGCUCGUAAAGCUCUGUUGUUAAAGAAGAACACGUAUGAGAGUAACUGUUCAUACGUUGACGGUAUUUAACCAGAAAGUCACGGCUAACUACGUGCCAC